ensembl:lncRNA ECE1-AS1 ECE1 antisense RNA 1
UCCAGGGACCCCAGACAGCAUUUGGUCCCUGGCUCUGUGUCCCCACACAGCCACCCUACCCCAUGCUGCCUUUUACUGAGGCACACAGCAUUUUAGACAGGAGAACCCUGAUGGCAGAGGCUGGGUCUCACGGGACCCUGUCUCCUUAAGGGCUUAGUCUGGGGCUGGAGCCUCUACAGAUGUUUGAGCAAAGGCGGGAGGCAAGGGAGGGAGGCCGGAAGCCACCCCAGGGACUCUGAUGUCCACCCUGCGGCAGCCUGUCUGUGGACAGAUGAUGCAGGAAGCUCACGGAACUCCCAAGCAGAAAUCAGCAGAGAUGGAGCCUGGUUAUUUUUCAGCACACAAAAGCCGAGGGCCCCUUCCUGAGAUGCCUGCCUCAGCCCGGUAGUGAAACUGAACCCACCUCAGACGGGAAAGGCUUGGCGGGCUCUGCUUGGUGGGAAGUCCACAGUGGUGCCUCGUCCCUGAGAUGAGAAUCAUCACCUCCGCUUUACAAAUGAGAUGACCAAGGGUCAGAGAGGAGAAAGGACCUCCCCCCAGCCCUGAGUCACCUGCCUGGAGACUGAGGGAGCCAUAAUGCGAAUCUUCCCCUUGCCAAACCCACUGACUCCAUUACGCUGCCUCCAGAGAACCCGAGCCCCGCGGCGAGAAAGUGGUAGAGCUGGGCCUCGAACCUGGGUCCUGGACUCUUGGUCCUGUGCUCCUUGUGGAAGAUGGAACUGCUUCUUCAGAGACAAGGUCUCAUUGUAUUGCCCGGGCUGUUCUAACUCCUGGGCUCAAGCGAUCCUCCGGCCUCAGCCUCCUAAAGUGAUGGGAUUACAGUCAUGAGUCACCAUGCUUGGCCUGGGCAGGACUUUCUCAAGUGGAACUGCCUCACACACAGACUCCCUGGAGCUGGCAGGAUGAAGCCCAUGAACCUUGGCCUGGCUUGCUAAACCCUCCCUCCCGACUCCCUCAGGAGUUCGAGUCUGCCUUCUUUCUCCGGCUGGCUCCUCAGCUUAACGCGCUUUCCUCCAGGCAGCUCUCUCGGGCUUCGCAGUGACCCUUCCUCGGUGCUCCGCGGCAGCAUGCUUCUGGCAUCUCAUCCCAACACAGUGAAGAGCAGCCAAGUGCGGCUGUGUGGCCCUGACCAAGUCAUUUCACUUCAAUUUUAUGCUUUGGCUUUCACAUCUUUCCACGGACGUGAAUGGAGAUGAUCAUGGUGCCGACCCCAAAGGAUCCUUACACGUCUUAAAAAAGUGAGCCACGGAAAGGCCUCAGCCCAGUGCCUAGCAGAGAAGCAGCACAUGGGAGGGAAGGAACGACCAGAGAAGACCCGUGGUGUGCCAGGCACUAGACCUGGGGCUCGGUGGCACAUGUCAGCUCCUUGCAAGUGUGAAACAACUGGAGUGCAGCGAGCAUCAGUAACUCACCCUAAGUCACACAUCUGGUAAACAGCAAAGCCUGGAUUUGAACCCAGGUUUUCCCAUGACAUCAGAUAAGACGGCAAUCACCACCUCCUUCUAACCCACCCUGCCUCACCUGCUCCAUCCUUACGACUUCAGGUGUCACCUCCCAGCUGGGUUUAAGGGGCUGAGUUGUCCACUCUGAUCUUCUCCAAGCACAAACUGCAAAGCAGACCAGAAAGCAGCUGGUCCUGACUCCAGGGCUACCCACAGAUGCCCCUGCACCUCCUCAUGCUCCUGUGCUCCUGUGUGAUGUCCUGGACUGUGUGAUGACCAGGCUGGGGAAGUCCCAAUCUGAAGAGACCAAGCGCUCUCUGACAAUGUGCUGAUCUAAUCACGUACAACUUAAGACAAAGUUAACCCGUCUCAUUGAAUGAUAUGGUAUAAUGGUGAUGACUGAGCUGCCCAGUAAUUGUGCUCAACCAGGAAGCAGCUCAUGGAGUCAGUUGUAAUUAGUAUUUGUGUUACACAGGUGAGUGGGUGGGUGAGGGCUGGGCAGAGGGAGGAGGAAGUGGGUGGGGCAGGAAGCUCUGGGGACUCCUUGGAUCCAUGAACCCCAUGCCAGCCAACUCAUGUGGUUGAUCCUGUCUAACCUUCAUGAUGACCUCAUGAUGUACUGUUAUCUCUCUUCUAAGGUGAGAAAACAGGCUCAGAGAAGUCCAUUCACUUGUCCAAGAUCAGACAGCUAGAAAAUGACAGAGCCAGGGUUCCCUCUUCAGCCCAGGCGAUGUCUUGGACAGCAGAAGGAACAGGAAUAGGGCUGGGAGGCUGGAGAUCCACAUCUCGGUCCCAGUUCUAACACUGCCUUACCCUGGGCCUCAGCAAGUAGCAUCCCUCUUCAGGAUACAAAGAGAUAGUAUGUCUGUCAGGUUGCAGACGGCUGAGGGUGUGGACUUGGGAGCUAGGCUCCUUGGAUUCUAAUCCUUGGGCAAGCUACUUCACCAUCUGAGCCUCAGUGUCCUCAUCUGUAAAAUGGAGAUGACAACAGUGUCUCCCUCAUAGGCUUGUGAAGAUAAAACGAGUAACAAGACUUA